rnacentral:rRNA from 1 species
AUUGAACGCUGGCGGCAGGCUUAACACAUGCAAGUCGAGCGAGCGGCGGACGGGUGAGUAAUGUCUGGGAAACUGCCUGAUGGAGGGGGAUAACUACUGGAAACGGUAGCUAAUACCGCAUACCAUCAGAUGUGCCCAGAUGGGAUUAGCUAGUAGGUAGGGUAAGGGCUCACCUAGGCGACGAUCCCUAGCUGGUCUGAGAGGAUGCACAGGCACACUGGAACUGAGACACGGUCCAGACUCCUACGGGAGGCAGCAGUGGGGAAUAUUGCACAAUGGGCGCAAGCCUGAUGCAGCCAUGCCGCGUGUGUGAAGAAGGCCGUCGGGUUGUAAAGCACUUUCAGCGAGGAGGCGUUACUCGCAGAAGAAGCACCGGCUAACUCCGUGCCAGCAGCCGCGGUAAUUC